UUUAACUGAAGAGUUUGAUCAUGGCUCAGAUUGAACGCUGGCGGCAGGCUUAACACAUGCAAGUCGAGCGGGGGAAGGUAGCUUGCUACUGGACCUAGCGGCGGACGGGUGAGUAAUGCUUAGGAAUCUGCCUAUUAGUGGGGGACAACAUCUCGAAAGGGAUGCUAAUACCGCAUACGUCCUACGGGAGAAAGCAGGGGAUCUUCGGACCUUGCGCUAAUAGAUGAGCCUAAGUCGGAUUAGCUAGUUGGUGGGGUAAAGGCCUACCAAGGCGACGAUCUGUAGCGGGUCUGAGAGGAUGAUCCGCCACACUGGGACUGAGACACGGCCCAGACUCCUACGGGAGGCAGCAGUGGGGAAUAUUGGACAAUGGGGGGAACCCUGAUCCAGCCAUGCCGCGUGUGUGAAGAAGGCCUUAUGGUUGUAAAGCACUUUAAGCGAGGAGGAGGCUACUUUAGUUAAUACCUAGAGAUAGUGGACGUUACUCGCAGAAUAAGCACCGGCUAACUCUGUGCCAGCAGCCGCGGUAAUACAGAGGGUGCGAGCGUUAAUCGGAUUUACUGGGCGUAAAGCGUGCGUAGGCGGCUUAUUAAGUCGGAUGUGAAAUCCCCGAGCUUAACUUGGGAAUUGCAUUCGAUACUGGUGAGCUAGAGUAUGGGAGAGGAUGGUAGAAUUCCAGGUGUAGCGGUGAAAUGCGUAGAGAUCUGGAGGAAUACCGAUGGCGAAGGCAGCCAUCUGGCCUAAUACUGACGCUGAGGUACGAAAGCAUGGGGAGCAAACAGGAUUAGAUACCCUGGUAGUCCAUGCCGUAAACGAUGUCUACUAGCCGUUGGGGCCUUUGAGGCUUUAGUGGCGCAGCUAACGCGAUAAGUAGACCGCCUGGGGAGUACGGUCGCAAGACUAAAACUCAAAUGAAUUGACGGGGGCCCGCACAAGCGGUGGAGCAUGUGGUUUAAUUCGAUGCAACGCGAAGAACCUUACCUGGCCUUGACAUACUAGAAACUUUCCAGAGAUGGAUUGGUGCCUUCGGGAAUCUAGAUACAGGUGCUGCAUGGCUGUCGUCAGCUCGUGUCGUGAGAUGUUGGGU
rnacentral:rRNA from 1 species